CUUUUAAUUACAAUUAUUACAGUGUUAACCAAUGAAGACAAAAUAUAUACUAAUAAAAAUGUAAAAUGACUUGAAAUCUAAGACAAUAUGUGAAUAGGCGACCAAAAACCCUCUAUAUUUUAAGCAUUUGAAGCAGAUGUCUGAUAAUGUCGUUGACUCAAAUAAAGAGACCAUCGGUAUCAAACUGGUCGGACAACAUGAUCAGAUUGCAUGCUCGAUGGAGGGAAGCAAAGUCAGUGGAGACAGGACGAUCUUGUUUUUCUCAUUAGACGCUAUCAUCUAGUAUCAGCUGACAGAACGGGCGAUGGCUCCAUAACCUCCACUCUCCACACAUCAGGGUUCCCUAUAGGUGUCGAGGGUGAACCCGCUGACCUCAUCCCUAUGGUUACCUGUGCUUUGUUUAUCAGAUGGCUUCCCUGUCCUUGGAGAUAUCAUGAGGAUGGGUGCAUCAUUUGUUCUUUAUCGGGACAAGUAAUCUGGUGUUGGUGCACUAGACAACAAGAAAAAGUGCUGAUUAGUUCCAACAGCAUGUGGGCUUUCAGGCGAACAGUUCAGAGGAAAAAUUCUUCAAUCUCAGAUAAGAGCUUUGACAUAAGUUUAUAUGCUAAGCAACAGGCAACAUUUAACACAUUUGUAGUUUCCAGCUUUGUGCAUCAAAGGCUCCUCCACGAGUCAUGAUAACCUGUUUGUUAUAUUUUUUAAAGUUAUGAGGAAAGACAAAAAAUAAAUAAAUGUUAAUCUUUUAAAAAUAUCAAAGUUUGUUCACAAAGGACGGGUUGUUUUAACUUGGAAGAAAUUGUAAAAAUAUUGGAUUAAUUCUUAUUUUUAACAUUUUUUUUUAACUUUUUUUCUAAUGAAAGAUUGUCAAUGUUUUGUAUAAAUUCAAUAUGUGAUGCUUUUAAAAGACAUACUCUGAUUAUUUUACUAUCUAUAUUGAUAGCAACACCCAAUCUUGUUUGCAACUAGUACAAAACACAAACUGACGUUUUGACAGAGCAUCAUUUAGCUCUCAAAAUUACUUUAACAUCAGUCUCCAUAGCAACCAUGGUAUGUUUUGGUCGGCUGGGGAUACCAAAUACAUUGACGUGAGUUUCAGCAAAAAAAAAAAAAUCAGCAAAAGUAAAUUUUUGGCUUUUCUUAGCAACGAAGGUUAUUUGCUAACUACACCUAUAUUCCUGAUAUGUUCAUAUCCAGUGGUAUAUUAUUUGGUCCAGCUCUACCCAGGCAUCCAUUGAGUAUUUUUUCACAAUAUUUCCCUUCAAAAUGGUAACUUCCUGAUGACGCUCAAGAAUUUUGGAGACGAUCAAGGAAAAUCCCUAGGACGAGUUUUUUUUGUAUCUAGUACUAAGGGUAGUUUUUAUUUAUUUAUUUUUUUUGUUCAAGAUGACAGCCUCCUUCUGAGGUCAAAUGUCAACAAAACUUUUGUGGUGGUUGUAGACUUAAGCUGGCAGCAUGUGUGUUGAAAUUUGUGAAAUUCACUGGAACAAAAGUUUCGUUUUUACAAAUUGCGAGAACAUGUGAAAAUUGGGAAAUUUCACACUUUGCCACAAAAUGGCCACCAGGUUUUAGGUCAUAUGGCCAUCCCAUAAUAAUUUCAUAACUUCCGUAUUUAAAUAUCCCCGACACAUAUGUUUUGGUUUUGUUAGUGUAAAUAGAUUUUAUUUUUUUAUUCCAUAA